AAGGGCUGUUCAGCCGCUGCAACAUACUUCCUAUUUCAUUGCUCCCAUACAUCAAGGGAAACGGUGGUUAAAAGGAACAAUGUUCUCAUAGUUAUAAAGCACAGGACUAAGCCAGAAAGUCAACAACCCUGUUCAUGCUUCCGGUGCAACUUCUACAUAGUACUUUUCUCUUUGUUUUGAUUUCUCUUUUUUUCUUUUAAACAAAAAUAGUCAUCCCGAACUCGCCAGAAUGGAAGGGAAACAGUUCAAAAGGCAUUUUUAAAUCGCUUUUCCAUCUCAGCUGGACAGCAUCGCAGAAAUUAAUAGCAUUGCUUGCAGCAACAAGGCUGGCAAUGCACCCUCGGGCCAUGCAGGCAGCAGUGUCUGAAGGCUGCUUCCAAGCUGACUUUUGGCUAGCAGGAAUGAUUCUGAAAGUUGGAUGAGACUGAAUCGAGCAAGUAACAACAAGUCCUUUUGGGAAGUUCCAAGGAUAUCAACCUAAACAAUCCUUAUAAGGCCUUAUCACCUUAAUAUUGGAGAUGGCAUCUUUCCUGAAGACCAGUAAUAGUAAUUUUCACCAGUAUAAAAUACAUAGUUUUUAAGUGCUUGCUUUGCAGCAAAGUUUAAAGUAGCAGUUUUAUAAUGAAGUCGGGAAGCUGAAAUUUGAUUGCUUGUUCAAUAAAUAUCAAGAGCAACUGACCUAUGCCA
rnacentral:lncRNA from 1 species